UACGUAGGGGCCGAGCGUUGUCCGGAGUUAUUGGGCGUAAAGCGCGCGCAGGCGGCUUCGCGCGCCCGCCGUGAAAGCCCCCCCGGCUUAACCGGGAGAGUCGGUGGGGACGGCGGAGCUUGAGGGCGGGAGAGGUCGGUGGAAUUCCCGGUGUAGUGGUGGAAAUGACGUAGAGAUCGGGAGGAACACCUGUGGCGGAAGACGGCCCGACUGGGCCGACCCUGA
rnacentral:rRNA from 1 species